UGCCCUAAAAAACUGACCAAAGUAGGGCUACCCCUUGCUGAAACUUUGAAUUUCAGCCAUAUGGGUCUGUCUGGGAAGACCACAAGGCCAUCCUCCCUCUGAUGACUGCCAGGACUCACCUUUCCUGCCUAUCUCCACCUGUUGUGCCCAAUUCAGGAGGGUCAAAAAUGUAACAGACCAGAAGAAGGCACUCCAGGACUAGUGUGGAAGCUGUUCUAUGAGGUUAUCCACAGAUUCAGUCUCCCCGUCAUUGCCGGAAUGGCCCUCUCAUCCAUAAGGCCAGCAGUCUGAAUUGGCUCAACUGGUUUCUCUGCUUCCGGUUUCAGAAGGCCAUGAUCAAGAUAUUGGCCAGCUGGGCUCUUAUUGGGAAGCUCGGAAAGAAUCUGCUUCCAAGCUCAUAUCAGAUGGCGGAAGACAUCAAGUCCGAAUGCAAGACAGAGGAUAAAAGAGAGCUUCAGACAGCAUUUGCAAACUGGUAGCCUGCUGAACAGAUCCAGUCCACAGAUGUGUUUGAUUUGGCCC